UACGUAGGGGGCUAGCGUUGCCCGGAAUCACUGGGCGUAAAGCGCACGUAGGCGGUUUGUUAAGUCAGGGGUGAAAUCCUGGAGCUCAACUCCAGAACUGCCUUUGAUACUGUCGGUCUUGAGUUCGGGAGAGGUGAGUGGAACUGCGAGUGUAGAGGUAAAAUUCGUAGAUAUUCGCAAGAACACCAGUGGCGAAGGCGGCUCGCUGGCCCGAUACUGACGCUGAGGUGCGAAAGCGUGGGGAGCAAACAGG
rnacentral:rRNA from 1 species